rfam:Ovis aries breed Texel chromosome 14, whole genome shotgun sequence.
GUCCUGGCAGUCCAGUGGCUAGGACUCAGCACUUUCACUGCUGUGGCCCACGUUCAACCCCUGGUCGGGAAC